rnacentral:rRNA from 1 species
UACAGAGGGGGCAAGCGUUAUUCGGAAUUAUUGGGCGUAAAGGGCGCGUAGGCGGCUUGGCAAGUGGAAGGUGAAAUCCCUCGGCUUAACCGAGGAACUGCCCUCCAAACUGCUUCGCUUGAGACCGGGAGAGGUGAGUGGAAUUCCCAGUGUAGCGGUGAAAUGCGUAGAUAUUGGGAGGAACACCAGUGGCGAAGGCGGCUACCUGGACCAGCACUGACACUGAGGCACGAAAGCGUGGGGAGCAAACAGG